UGCAGUCGGACGGGAUUGAGGAGCUUGCUUCUCAUGAGAGUGGCGCACGGGUGCGUAACACGUAUGUAACCUACCUUGUUCAGGGGGAUAGCCUCUCGAAAGAGAGAUUAACACCGCAUAAAAUCAAUUUAUGGCAUCAUAGAAUGAUCAAAUAUUUAUAGGAACAAGAUGGGCAUGCGGAACAUUAGCUAGUUGGUAAGGUAACGGCUUACCAAGGCUACGAUGUUUAGGGGAUCUGAGAGGAUGACCCCCCACACUGGUACUGAGACACGGACCAGACUCCUACGGGAGGCAGCAGUAAGGAAUAUUGGUCAAUGGACGCAAGUCUGAACCAGCCAUGCCGCGUGCAGGAAGACGGCCCUACGGGUUGUAAACUGCUUUUGUACCGGAAUAAACCUUUUCACGUGUGAGAAGCUGAAUGUACGGUAAGAAUAAGGAUCGGCUAACUCCGUGCCAGCAGCCGCGGUAAUACGGAGGAUCCAAGCGUUAUCCGGAUUUAUUGGGUUUAAAGGGUGCGUAGGUGGCCUAUUAAGUCAGGGGUGAAAGACGGUAGCUUAACUAUCGCAGUGCCUUUGAUACUGAUGGGCUUGAAUACACUUGAGGUAGGCGGAAUGUGACAGGUAGCGGUGAAAUGCAUAGAUAUGUCACAGAACACCAAUUGCGAAGGCAGCUUACUAAAGUGUUAUUGACACUGAGGCACGAAAGCGUGGGGAUCAAACAGGAUUAGAUACCCUGGUAGUCCACGCCCUAAACGAUGAAUACUCGAUGUUGGCGAUAUACGGUCAGCGUCUAAGCGAAAGCGUUAAGUAUUCCACCUGGGGAGUACGCCCGCAAGGGUGAAACUCAAAGGAAUUGACGGGGGCCCGCACA
rnacentral:rRNA from 1 species